rnacentral:rRNA from 1 species
GAUGAACGCUGGCGGCGUGCCUAAUACAUGCAAGUCGAGCGAAGCGGGGACGGGUGAGUAACACGUGGGUAACCUCCUAUAAGACUGGGAUAACUUCGGGAAACCGGAGCUAAACCGGAUACUUAUCGAUGGAUCGGCGCGGCAUUAGCUAGUUGGUAAGGUAACGGCUUACCAAGGCAACGAUGCAUAGCCGACCUGAGAGGGUGAGCGGCCACACUGGAACUGAGACACUGUCCAGACGCCUACGCGAGGCAGCAGUAGGGAAUCUUCCGCAAUUGGCGAAAGCCUGACGGAGCAAUGCCGCGUGAGUGAUGAAGGUCUUCGGAUCGUAAAGCUCUGUUAGUAGGUAAGCGGUACCUAAUCAGAAAGCCACGGCUAACUACGUGCCAGCAGCCGCGGUAAUUC